AAUAUCCCUUGUCUAUUAUUUUAGUUGGGGUUGGAGAUGGGCCAUGGGACAUGAUGAGGGAAUUUGAUGACAAUAUCCCUGCUCGAGCCUUUGACAAUUUCCAGGCAAGUAAUUGCUGCUGCUCUUUUUCCUGUCCUUGAUGGUAUUGAUUUGUUUGCCCUAAUUGCCUCAAGUUUCUGGUUUCCUCAUCAACUUUUUGUUCUUUUCAGUUUGUUAAUUUCACAGAUAUCAUGUCAAAAACUGUGGACCGGUCCCGGAAAGAAGCAGAGUUUUCCUUAGCAGCAUUGAUGGAAAUACCUUCUCAGUACAAAGCAACUCUGGAGCUGAACCUUUUUUCCUGUCCUUGAUGGUAUUUAUUUGUUUUCCCUAAUUGCCUUAAGUUUCUGGUUUCCUCAACAACUUUUUGUUCUUUUCAGUUUGUUAAUUUCACAGAUAUCAUGUCAAAAACUGUGGACCGGUCCCGGAAAGAAGCAGAGUUUGCCUUAGCAGCAUUGAUGGAAAUACCUUCUCAGUACAAAGCAACUCUGGAGCUGAACAUUCUGGGGUACAAAUUGAACGCUCAUUGUUAAUUUGCUACUAGUGGACACUGAAAUUUAAUAGUACUCAAAUUUCUUAUGAAAAGUUGAUGGUGGAAUUUAUUUUCAGUUAAUUU
rnacentral:lncRNA from 1 species